UGAGCCACUGUGCCCAGCUGCAAACAGUCUUUAUGUGGGUAUCAAUGUCAGUCUCACCAUUGCUCAUAAGUGGUGAGAGUAAGAGCAAUGCUCCAUUUUCUUCUUGAUCUCAAAGGGAAGUUGUUAUCUCAGCAUCGAGUGACAAGAGACUGUAUAUGGGAGAGAUUCAGUGAAGAUAUGGACUGGAAGACUCCAAGGCCGCUUGUCUUUGAGACCUCAGACUGCAUAAGUGAUGCCAAAUGUUGGAUGUCCAGGCUAGCACCCUCCCUUCAGAUGACCAUUGCUAGCAAGAAACAGGAGGCGGUGGCCAUAUUCCAAAAACCACUUCUGUCCCAUUUCACCAGGAUGACUAAGGCAAGCUCCCUGUGGCCUCUAAAAACCACCUGCCAGAUUUCAGGGACUGUUUUUUUUUUUCUUUUUCUUUUUUCCUGUUUUCUAAUGCAGGCCCAAUGUGACAAA
rnacentral:lncRNA from 1 species